GCUCUGUGUCCUCUGGCAAGAGCUCAGUCUGGAGGGACCAUGAGGUGCUCUCCUCGUCGGCGUUCCUGCCCAGAGCUAUGAGAAAUGUGUCAAAGUCUGUCUUACACAUUAUGCACUACAAAUUCCAUCUGCCCAUUUAGCAAGCUCAGAGUGAUUAGUUCAGAAGUUGAUUCUCCUUGUGCAAAAACAGUCACGUUAUUUGCUUUUUGAAGAAAGAGCAAAGUUGGUGUAAGGAAUGCAGAGAUCCUGGUCCUGGAAGCACUCUCCACCUUCUGCCUCCUGUUCCCUGAGUGAGCUGCUUUUGCAUGGGAUCACAUGCUCUGAUGAUGCAGACCAUCAGUACUGACACAAGCUAAAAAUAACUCAAACACCAGAUUGCAUCUCCUGUCAAAGUGUUCAAUAACUCCGAGUCAACAAUGAUCUUGGUAUUUUAAACACAGUUGCAUCCAUAUUGAGGUGGAAUUCAGCAGCCAUCUGGUCCUUGGAAAAGGAAGAUGUUAGCAGUGCAUAGAUAAAUCAAGAAAAAAUAUAAAUAAAUAUUUUAA